CCUACGGGAGGCUGCAGUGAGGAAUAUUGGUCAAUGGGCGCGAGCCUGAACCAGCCAAGCAGCGUGCAGGAUGACUGCCCUAUGGGUUGUAAACUUCUUUUAUAAAGGAAUAAAGUGAGGCACGUGUGUCUUUUUGUAUGUACUUUAUGAAUAAGGAUCGGCUAACUCCGUGCCAGCAGCCGCGGUAAUACGGAGGAUCCGAGCGUUAUCCGGAUUUAUUGGGUUUAAAGGGAGCGUAGAUGGGUUGUUAAGUUAGUUGUGCAAGUUCGCGGCUCAACCGUAAAAUUGCAAUUGAUACUGGAAGCCUUGAGAACAGUUGAGGUAGGCGGAAUGCAUGGUGUAGCGGUGAAAUGCUUAGAUAUCACGAAGAACUCCGAUUGCGAAGGCAGCUUACUAAACUGCCACUGACAUUGAUGCUCGAAAGUGUGGGUAUCAAACAGGAUUAGAUACCCGGGUAGUC
rnacentral:rRNA from 1 species